UGCAUGCGUAUGUGCGCUUUAUAAUGUGUGCGCAUUUAUAAUGUGUGGCCAAUAGAGAGCACUGUUCCCCAAGCAUCAGAGGAGAAUCGUGCGCUUCACGCCGCUCACUUCAGGAGUCCGGCUUAGGGAAUAAGCCUGAAAGCACUACAUGGCAGUGCAGAAGAGACGAGCAGAGCGCGCGGUCACAUCCACUCCGUUUCACUAUGCGCUCGCGCUAUUAACAGCUACAGCCCGCUAGACUGCAGGACAGCGGCCCGAGCUCACGCGCUUACGGCAUUAGGACCAGGAAUGGAGGCGGCAGCGGACGGCGCGAGCAGCCUGGCUGAGGCCGAGGAUGGCAGCCCGUUAUCCCAAGACGAACCGGUGUUUGGGGUCUGUGACAACCAAGCGAUGGAUGCAGAUGCUGUCAAGAAGGCUUUCAUCACAGAGAUGGCAUCAUCCUCAGGCCAGCCAGGCCUUGGAAAAAAGAUCGGGCACAGAGGAGUGGACGCUUCUGGAGAGACAACAUACAAGAAGACCACAUCGUCAGCACUAAAAGGAGCCAUCCAGCUUGGCAUCGGCUACACAGUGGGCAAUCUGAGCUCCAAGCCCGAGAGAGAUGUGCUCAUGCAGGACUUCUACGUAGUGGAGAGCAUCUUCUUCCCCAGCGAGGGAAGCAACCUGACACCAGCCCACCACUUUCCAGACUUCCGGUUCAAGACGUAUGCUCCUGUGGCUUUCCGUUACUUCAGGGAGCUGUUUGGGAUUCGUCCCGAUGACUAUCUGUACUCUCUGUGUAACGAGCCGCUGAUCGAGUUGUCGAACCCAGGAGCCAGUGGUUCUGUGUUCUACGUUACCAAGGAUGACGAGUUCAUCAUCAAGACUGUCAUGCACAAGGAGGCAGAGUUCCUGCAGAAGCUUCUGCCAGGAUAUUACAUGAACCUUAACCAGAACCCUCGAACACUGUUGCCCAAGUUUUUCGGCUUGUACUGCGUGCAGUCGGGAGGAAAGAACAUCCGGAUGGUGGUCAUGAACAACAUCCUGCCCAGGGUGGUACGCAUGCACCUGAAAUACGACUUGAAGGGCUCCACAUACAAGCGCCGGGCCUCCAAAAAAGAGCGAGAGAAGGCAAAGCCGACAUUUAAAGACCUCGACUUCAUGCAGGACAUUCCUGAGGGCCUGAUGCUGGACGUGGACACUUACAAUGCCCUUGUCAAGACUCUCCAGAGAGAUUGCUUGGUGCUGGAGAGUUUUAAGAUCAUGGAUUACAGUUUGUUGUUGGGGCUGCAUAACCUCGACCAGGCUGAGAGGGAGCAGAACAUUGAGGGCUCUCAGAGUAGCAGUGAUGGAAAGAGACCACCGGCCCAGAAAGCCCUCUACACCACAGCCAUGGAGUCCAUCCAGGGAGCCUCAGCCUGCGGAAAGGACAUCGACACUGAGGACACGAUGGGAGGCAUCCCGGCAGUGAACAGUAAAGGAGAGCGUUUGUUGCUGUACAUUGGCAUCAUUGACAUCCUGCAGUCUUACAGGUUAAUAAAGAAAUUAGAACACACAUGGAAAGCUCUCGUUCAUGAUGGGGACACAGUGUCUGUGCACCGACCUUCUUUCUAUGCAGACAGAUUCUUCAGAUUUAUGAGUAGCACAGUAUUUCGGAAGAGCUCCUCCUUAAGGUCUUCUCCCUCAAAGCGUGGUCGAGGAGGCCUGGCCAUGCCCAAAUACUCAGGGCCUGGAGCUGCGUGGUCGAUCAGCCAGCUUCCCUCUGAGAGAGACGACAACAUUUAUGACCUGCGAGGGGCGCGCAGCUUCCCCACACUGGAGGACGAAGGUCGCUCAGAUGUGCUUCCCUGCACACCUCCAUCAUUUGAGGAUGCCACCACUGCCUCCAUUGCCACCACACUCUCCUCCACCACCUCUCUCUCCAUUCCUGAACGCUCCCCCUCUGACACUUCAGAGCACCCCCGCUACAGGAGACACACCCAGUCUAGCCAAGACGGAACGACUCAGGAGGAAGAUCAGCAGACCAUCACAGUAGAGGUGGAGUUGAAGAGACAAGACAGUGAGCCUACACUCAUAGCACCACAACCUUCUCCAGAGACAAGUGAAGAUUUGGAGCUCCGUGCAGAAGCUUCCUGUUCCACAGUUCCUGCGAGUCCUAAAAUUGUGGUGGACUCGGACUGCACUAGUCAAGCCUCUGGCUGCCCCAGCCACUCCUCUGUAGACGAGGAUGAUGAUGUGCCAAUCACUGAUAUCUACUUUUCUGCAGAAUCGCUGGUGUGAGGAGCGGGUGUUGUUAGCCUGGUGAGAAACCAGUGUGAGAGUGUGGUGUGUUUAACAGAACACUUGUUUCCCUUGCAGUGUGCUUAAGCCAGAUGAGGAACAUUUCUGCACCCAAAAAAACAUACAUGAUUUAAAAUUUACACUAAUGAUUAAAAGAAACGUAAUGGAAGUCUUCUCAUCCAAAAUCUGUUUUUUAAACAUAUAUGCAAAUUUGUAAAAAGUGUAGCUUUGACCAGUUUUGCAACUGCUCAAAGCAGUUGUAUAAAAACAUAGAGGUGAAAAAAUAAAGUUUAAAGUCAAGUUACUAUUUUAUCCCUAUAUUUUAUCCCUAAUGAGCAAGGCUGAGUUGAAACACUCCCUGAGAUAAUAUGAGGAAGAAACCUUGAGAGGAACCAGGCUCAGAAAAGAACCUCAUCCUCAUUUGGGCGACACUGGACAGUAAAUAAUGUAAAUGUAAAUAAUGUCCAUUCUACAACAGCAUCUAAGAGCUCUUGAGGAACUACUGGGUCAGUGUAGUUUUUAAGUUCAUUUUAGACUUAGCACUAAUUCCUUGCUGUCGCAAGCUGACAGAUGGAACAGCAAUUCAAUGAUAGUCUCCAUUUACUUUUUGUUGAUGAGACUAGGUGACAGUAAUUGUGUUAAAAUAUAUUAACAAAGACAACAACAAAUAGGGUUUUUAAUUUUCUUAGAACAAGUUUAGUUCAAUUAAAGGUUAAAUUUCCUUCAGUGCAAAGGUAAUGCUAAUUAACCACACAGUACAAUAAAACACACAGGGUAUGUGUGUAUAUUUUCGAAAAGGAAUCUGAAUCAGGGAGAUUUCCAUUACUUCUACUCUUCAUUAGCCCUCAACAGCCCAGUGCAAAACUAAAAGAAACACAUCUUGGAUUCUUGGUGACAUUUGUGCCCAGGAGAGAAUUGUGUAAAUACAAGUAUAUUGCUGAAUUCUCCAUUGAUGUUACAUCAAACUGGGUGUUCCCCCUCUGGCUUGGAAACCUACAAGUUAGUACUGAACUCAGUUUUUAGGACCGUUACUCAUUUUCAUUCUCAGUAUCCAGAAUGACGUGUUAUGCCUCCUGCAUGUGACCUACAGUUUUGUUCCCUGCUGCAUACCUUCAUCAGACUUUCCAUAUUGUGCUGUAAACUUUGCAUGAAAAUGCAAUGUUUUGUUUCAUUGUAUUGCCUGGUUUCAUACUGGCUCAGAUUGUAUUUGAAAUGCUUUUUCUUAUUGCAUGUGUGUCUUCUUACUCUAUAAUGACCAUGCUUAAUCAGCAGUGACCGAGGACAUACCUGACAGCACGUUUGUCAUCCCUGUUGCUAAGAAAUACAACUGUCAGCCGUCAGCUUGUUCGCAAUCACAUCAUCAGUCCACUGCUGUGUGCGUGACUCAAGCUGUUUCUUCGUCACUGAUGGGUUCUCGAAAAAUAACUGAUUAGAGGGAAAUUGUGUAAGGAACAUUGGGGAAACCCAUUGGAACGUGCUAUAAUAGGAAAAUCAGUAGUGAUGUGUGAUGUGGUGCUUCAGUUUCAAUUCCCAUCACAAAGCUGAGCAUAGCAAGAUGUAUUCUUCUUGGAAAGUUUGCCAAAAUACUUCAUUAAUUUAUUGUUAAGUAUAAUGUGGAACAUCCAUGGAAAAAUCCACUUAUAUCAGGCAUAAAGUCUCUUUCCUUCACUACAGUCUCCUUCUUCUCCCCUCUUUCUCUAGUUAAUAAGAAUAAAAAUGCAGAGAAACCACAAAUCGGCAAGCUUCUCCAUCCUGAUGACUUUCCUGUGACAAAACACUUAAAUGACAGCUUUUCUUGUGAUUAUUAUAAAGUGUUGACACUGAAGACUCCUUCCAAAAAUGUUUAAUACAUUUCUGUUCACUGAAAACCUUACCAAAUUAUUGAUCACACAUAUUUUCUUUUGUGUUUAUAUAUUAUAUUAAUGUCCACCUGUUUAAGUUGUUAACGUGGGCAUAACACAUAAGAUCAAGUCCAUUAUUAGCUGUUGUGAAGUAUUCAAUGUUUUCUGAACAGCACUGUGAGUUAGGAGCAAGUCAUCAGCUGAGCCUGACUGUGUUUUAUAAUUAACAUCCAUCCACUUGCAUUGUGUGUCAGCUACCCUGAGUCACCUGUUCAUUUGUUUAUUUGUUUCUCUCGCUCAGUUCCUCUCUUUUUUCUCUACUUCUCUCUCUCUAUGACUAAACAAUCAGAUAACUCUUUUUGCAUCUAUUUCUGUCACACAUUUUAUAUUAUCUUUUUGACCGUUUAUUUCAUUUGUAUACUCAUUUUUUUAUUCACAAUCUUUUCUUAUGUUCUUUCUUUUUUGCUUUUUCUCUUUCCCUGUCUCAAUCAUGCACACACACACACACACACACACACUUCUUCUGUCUGUUGUAAGUUCUCUGAUGGUAGCUGUUGUGUCUGCCAGACCAUUACACACCCCAGGAGGCCACAGUGUAAGUCGAGGUAGUGAAUUAGCCGGUUGUGGAAUAUUGUGACUGUAGUGCUCUUGUAAUAGAGAAAUUAGUCUCACACACACACGCAUACACACAGACAUCCUGCAGGCAUGUUUAGCUUUUUUAAAAAUGUGCAAAGCCAUAAUGUGAACUUGGCCACAGCCUUUUCCACUUCCCAUUUCAUUAGAGCAGCUCUGUUUCCCUCUUCUACAGCCUGCUCCCCUUCUUCCUGUUUUUAUUACUAACUGCUUUUACACAGUAGCUGGAAGGCUUAGGGUUUUAACAUGCAUAAAGUCCACUUGUCUAAGCGUGCGCGCAAUCAGCUGAAUAAUUUGCAAAAUAGGUAAAUGCAAAAAUGAGCUUUUAAUAGGACAUUACCUUACAAAAAUAGAAAAUGUUUUCAGUCAGUUAGAUCAGCAUCAGUGCAUGACAGAAUUUCACAAACCGUAAACCUAAGCACAGUGGCACGUUAAAACAGAAUUGGAUUUAAAAUACCUAUAUUACAUUGCAUAGAUUUUUUUAAAUAUUUAUUUAUUAUUAUGAAAAUAUUUAUAAUAUAAUAAAUUAUGUGGUAUAUGUUUAGAGAUUACUAUGCUAUAAAAAAUAAUCAAUAACCAUUUUAGGAUGUUUAAUAUGUAUGUUAUAGGAACGAUGUAUAUACAUCGACCAUGCAUAACAUUAUGACCACCUCCCUAAUAUUGUGCCAAAACAGCCCUGACCCAUCAUACACUGUGUAUUCUGACACCUUUCUAUCAGAACCAGCAUUAACUUCUUCAGCAAUUUGAGCAACAGUAGCUCGUCUGUUGGAUCGGAUCACACGGGCCAACCUUCACCCCACAUGUAUCACUGAGCCUUGGCCGCCAAUGACCCUGUCGCCAGUUCACCACUGUUCCUUCCUUGGAUCACUUUUGGUAGAUACUGACCACUGCAGACCGGGAACACCCCACAAGAGCUGCAGUUUUGGAGAUGCUCUGAUCCAGUCGUCUAGCCAUCACAAUCUGGCACUUGUCAGACUCAAAUCCUUACGCUUGUCCAUUUUUCCUGCUUUGAGGACAAAAUGUUCACUUGCUGUCUAAUAUAUCCCACCCACUAACAGGUGCCAUGAUGAGGAGAUAAUCAGUGUUAUUCACUUCACCUCUCAGUGCUCAUAAUGUUAUGCCUGAUCUGUGUAUAAGGUCUAUAAAUCCCUGUUGAAAAAUGGCAGGGUUUUGUGGUGUAAAAAACAUUAAACUAAAAUAAAUCAUGUCAGGACAUGAAAUUAUGUUGUAUACAAAUUAAGUCAGAAACAUUUAGGGAAGAUAAGAACAAUUUACCAUAACCUUGUUGCUUAAGUGCACAAUUUCUUGCGGCUGUGUCUGUGUUCUUAUGGUAAAAGUAAUUAGCAUGCCACUGUCUUUAGUGAAAUUCUUCUGAUUAACCCCUUUAACACUUCCCUGGGUUUAGUCAUAAGGAAAAAAAAAAGUAGGAAAUUGCUUGCAUGAAUAUGCAGUUUAGGAAACUGCUCCAAAUAGCUAGCAAGCUACUAAACUGCUAGUAAACCUCGGUAGAAAAAACAUUUUGGUAGUCUUCAUUUUCAUUUUUAUUUCCGCAUAUUUAUUUUUUGACAUCAGCAACAAUUUUUAAAUGGGUUUUUAAGCAAGUAAUAAGUUUUAACAGGGAAUUUGUGAAUUUAGCAAACCCAAGCACUAAUCCGAAAACACAGUUUUGAGUUUUAAUGGUUCUUUUAAUGUAAUUCUUCUUUCUUUCUUUCAUCACUCGGUUUGCUUCAAACUUUCAGCUACUGCAUUGUCUUCUAUUUCUCUCUCACGUCUCGGCUCUCUUGCUUUCUCAUGCCGGCUGCCUCGCUCUCUCCGCUACCUAAACCAGCCUCCGGAGGAGAGGAGCUGGGUUUAUUCUCCUCUGCACUACGCUACAGAGUCUAGGACUCUGCCCACAGGGGAUGAGGACAGCGAUACACAGUGAGUGUGACUACUCCAGAGAUUGCUCAAGCGUGACGUUGCUUCCAACUCAACUCAACUGACCAAACUUCCUACCACAUUUUUAACUGACUGGUGUGUUCGAUCCUCAUCUUCUCACGAUCCAAAAUCCCACGCAAGACUGCAGCGUGAAGCUUUGUGCUGAACGUACACUAGCGUCGUUCUCCCUGUCGUUCUCCCAUCAUUUCUUCUACUAACAGCACCAAGCCAACCAGUAAUAACUGCAUCCAUUGAGAUUGAGAUAACAUUCCUGUAAUUCAUAAAAUGUUUUUUAUUUUGUUUUGUUUUUUUACUUUUCUAUGUGUGUGAUACUCUGAGUGUGAUACUGUGAACAUGCUUUCAUAUGUAUAAAGAAUAUGUUUGGUGUGUAAUGUGAGUUUGGAGAAAGCUUGCUCUUGCUUGUACACUUAAAGCAUCUGUAGUCUACAAUUAACUUCACUCAGUGAUAUAAUGAACUACUGGUAAUGUUAUAUUGUCAGCUAUAUCAGGAGUGGACGAAAUAUAAGUUCAGUUUGAUCCGAUUUUAUUUGUAUAGCGCUUCGCUUGCAAAUCAGCUUUACAGUAGUAUUUCAUGUUUAUAAAUUGUAAACUUUACUUUUAAAUUAAUCCCUAAUGAGAGAGCCAAAGGCAAGAAAAACUCUCAGAGGACGAAACCUUGUGAGGAAUCAGACUCAUCUGGGUGACACUGGAUAGUGUGAUUAUAUAUAAAACAAAAUUCUCUUCUAUAACUGUACUGUAUGCUCAAAAGCCAUGUCCGAUGUAAUGUAAUUAAGCUGUACAUCACUAUAAUUCUUCCUUGUGAAAUAAGUACUUUCAUCUCCUUUUCACAAUAAAGAAUAAUACUGAUUUACAGCUUAAUGCACAGAUGCAUUUGACUAGAUUUGAUCGAACAUAACAGCUGAUGUUCCAACAACUUCAAUUCUAAGUGGCUUUCACGUAUAUAUUUUAUGCAAACCUUUAUGUAAACAUGGAUGAUUUGUUGACUGGGGUAUUAGUAAUGGUUUGCUGUGUUUUUGAUGCAUUCAGCUCCUGUAGAUUUCCUUAUGCCUUUACAGGGACAACAAUCUUCAGUUGAGUUUAUAAAGUACUGCUACAGCUUUCUACCAGGUGGGAAUAACCAAGCAGAAGUCAACAUGGAUGUUUUAAUUACACACUGAUUGAUAUUUGUCUUUGUGUAGAAUCACAGCAGAUUUUAUGUGGGCUAUUUGAGGUUAAAGAAACUAUAAUUCCCACAGUUUCCUGAGAACUCUUCCUUACUAAGGCUGUAUUUCAAUUUUUUUUCAUGCCUUUCGUGUGCUGAAGGCCUAUCUUUAAAACCAAUGGAAAUGCUUUCCUCUUACGACUGUUCAAUCACAGCACUUUAUUUCUCCAUAUCACAAUCAUUUGAGCAGGAUGCAAGUUUUCCACCAGUGUUGUGAUCUGCACUGCAGGAAAGGUUUAAAGAACUUGUUCAAAUGUAUAUUUAUUUGUAUGUAUAGAGUAAUUUAAGUGUGUAUGUGUUUGAAAGUGUAAGUGUGAGGAACGUGUGAUUUAAUAGAUAUUUGAUGGGUGUUAAAAUGCUGAUCCCGGUCACAAUGCUGUUGUGUGAUAUAACGGACCUGCAGCAGCAAUACAGAGUGUUUGUAAUUUUUGGUUGCCUUAUUUAUUUCUUAUUUUUAGUGUUCUGAUACCAUAGUUAGUGACUCACUAAUGAUAUGUACAUAGAAGUAUAAAUACAAAUAAUGAAGAAAUACUGACUAUAUUUUAUUCUGUGGAUUUGGAGGUUUUUUGUUUUUUUUUAACUUCCCUCAAGCUGCACAUAAAAAUGAAUCGAGUGAAGCAGAUUCUUUCCGAGAUGAAGAGCGUGUAGCCGUAUUUGCGUUUCAGACGUCGCUUUGUGCCGUACGUGUGAACUUUCCCGAAUACGCAAGUGUACCGAUUGCAUCAUGUCCUACAAUUUUUGUCUGUGUAUGUGUGGUUUAAAAAAAAUGUGUGGCCCUGAUCAAAUAGAGUGCUGUAGAGAACAAGCAUUUUGUCAUUGAAAAUUGUAAAUAUAAAUUGAAAAUUAAAGAUAAAA